CUGAGUACGGCGGAACACGUGAAAUUCCGUCGGAAUCCGGGAGGACCAUCUCCCAAGGCUAAAUACUCCCUAGUGACCGAUAGUGAACCAGUACCGUGAGGGAAAGGUGAAAAGCACCCCGGAAGGGGAGUGAAACAGUUCCUGAAACCGUGUGCCUACAAGUAGUUAGAGCCCGUUAAUGGGUGAUAGCGUGCCUUUUGUAGAAUGAACCGGCGAGUUACGAUUUGUUGCAAGGUUAAGCGGAAAAAGCGGAGCCGUAGCGAAAGCGAGUCUGAAUAGGGCGCAUAAGUAACAGGUCGUAGACCCGAAACCAGGUGAUCUACCCAUGUCCAGGAUGAAGGUAAGGUAAUACUUACUGGAGGUCCGAACCCACGCACGUUGAAAAGUGCGGGGAUGAGGUGUGGGUAGCGGAGAAAUUCCAAUCGAACUUGGAGAUAGCUGGUUCUCUCCGAAAUAGCUUUAGGGCUAGCCUCGAGGUAAAGAGUCAUGGAGGUAGAGCACUGUUUGGACUAGGGGCCCUUCUCGGGUUACCGAAUUCAGAUAAACUCCGAAUGCCAUGUACUUAUACUCGGGAGUCAGACUGCGAGUGAUAAGAUCCGUAGUCGAAAGGGAAACAGCCCAGACCACCAGUUAAGGUCCCCAAAUAUAUGUUAAGUGGAAAAGGAUGUGGGGUUGCUUAGACAACCAGGAUGUUGGCUUAGAAGCAGCCACCAUUGAAAGAGUGCGUAAUAGCUCACUGGUCGAGUGACCCCGCGCCGAAAAUGUACCGGGGCUAAACAUAUUACCGAAACUGUGGAUGAACCUCUUUAGAGGUUCGUGGUAGGAGAGCGUUCUAAGGGCGGUGAAGUCAGACCGGAAGGACUGGUGGAGCGCUUAGAAGUGAGAAUGCCGGUAUGAGUAGCGAAAGAAGGGUGAGAAUCCCUUCCACCGAAUAUCUAAGGUUUCCUGAGGAAGGCUCGUCCGCUCAGGGUUAGUCGGGACCUAAGCCGAGGCCGAUAGGCGUAGGCGAUGGACAACAGGUAGAGAUUCCUGUACCAGUGCUAAUUGUUUAACCGAUGGGGUGACACAGAAGGAUAGGGAAUCGCACGAAUGGAAAUGUGCGUCCAAGCAGUGAGUGUGAGAAGUAGGCAAAUCCGCUUCUCGCGAAGCAUGAGCUGUGAUGGGGAAGGAAAUUAAGUACGGAAGUUCCUGAUUUCACGCUGUCAAGAAAAGCCUCUAGGAAGAGUAGUACUGCCCGUACCGCAAACCGACACAGGUAGAUGAGGAGAGAAUCCUAAGGUGAGCGAGAGAACUCUCGUUAAGGAACUCGGCAAAAUGACCCCGUAACUUCGGGAGAAGGGGUGCUCUAUUAGGGUGCAAGCCCGAGAGAGCCGCAGUGAAUAGGCCCAGGCGACUGUUUAGCAAAAACACAGGUCUCUGCAAAACCGUAAGGUGACGUAUAGGGGCUGACGCCUGCCCGGUGCUGGAAGGUUAAGAGGAGUGCUUAGCUUCGGCGAAGGUACGAAUUGAAGCCCCAGUAAACGGCGGCCGUAACUAUAACGGUCCUAAGGUAGCGAAAUUCCUUGUCGGGUAAGUUCCGACCCGCACGAAAGGCGCAACGAUCUGGGCACUGUCUCAACGAGAGACUCGGUGAAAUUAUAGUACCUGUGAAGAUGCAGGUUACCCGCGACAGGACGGAAAGACCCCGUGGAGCUUUACUGCAACCUGAUAUGGAAUGUUUGUACCGCUUGUACAGGAUAGGUAGGAGCCGAAGAGACGUGUGCGCUAGCAUACGAGGAGGCAAUGGUGGGAUACUACCCUGGCUGUAUGACCAUUCUAACCCGCCACGCUUAGCGCGUGGGGAGACAGUGUCAGGUGGGCAGUUUGACUGGGGCGGUCGCCUCCUAAAGAGUAACGGAGGCGCCCAAAGGUUCCCUCAGAAUGGAUGGAAAUCAUUCGCAGAGUGUAAAGGCACAAGGGAGCUUGACUGCGAGACUGACAAGUCGAGCAGGGACGAAAGUCGGGCUUAGUGAUCCGGUGGUUCCGCAUGGAAGGGCCAUCGCUCAACGGAUAAAAGCUACCCCGGGGAUAACAGGCUUAUCUCCCCCAAGAGUCCACAUCGACGGGGAGGUUUGGCACCUCGAUGUCGGCUCGUCGCAUCCUGGGGCUGUAGUCGGUCCCAAGGGUUGGGCUGUUCGCCCAUUAAAGCGGCACGCGAGCUGGGUUCAGAACGUCGUGAGACAGUUCGGUCCCUAUCCGUCGCGGGCGCAGGAAAUUUGAGAGGAGCUGUCCUUAGUACGAGAGGACCGGGAUGGACACACCGCUGGUGUACCAGUUGUUCCGCCAGGAGCAUCGCUGGGUAGCUAUGUGUGGCAGGGAUAAACGCUGAAAGCAUCUAA
rnacentral:rRNA from 1 species